GAUGAACGCUGGCGGCGUGCCUAAUACAUGCAAGUCGAGCGAACGGACGAGAAGCUUGCCUUUCUGAUGUUAGCGGCGGACGGGUGAGCAACACGUGGAUAACCUACCUAUAAGACUGGGAUAACUUCGGGAAACCGGAGCUAAUACCGGAUAAUAUUUUGAACCGCAUGGUUCAAAAGUGAAAGACGGUCUUGCUGUCACUUAUAGAUGGAUCCGCGCUGCAUUAGCUAGUUGGUAAGGUAACGGCUUACCAAGGCAACGAUGCAUAGCCGACCUGAGAGGGUGAUCGGCCACACUGGAACUGAGACACGGUCCAGACUCCUACGGGAGGCAGCAGUAGGGAAUCUUCCGCAAUGGGCGAAAGCCUGACGGAGCAACGCCGCGUGAGUGAUGAAGGUCUUCGGAUCGUAAAACUCUGUUAUUAGGGAAGAACAUAUGUGUAAGUAACUGUGCACAUCUUGACGGUACCUAAUCAGAAAGCCACGGCUAACUACGUG
rnacentral:rRNA from 1 species